rnacentral:misc_RNA from 1 species
CAGUAGUCACCCGGGGCGCCGCAAGGCCUCCCGGGUAACCUACCACCCUUUGUUUAUUACACUUUGUUGCUUUGGCAGGCCUGCCCUCGGGCUGCUGGCUCCGGCCGGCGAGCGCUUGCCAGAGGACCUAAACUCUGUUUGUCUAUACUGUCUAAGUACAAUUAUUAAAUAAAAGCA